rnacentral:vault_RNA from 10 species
GAUUGGCCGUAGCUGAGUGGUUUCUUCAAGUAAAGCAUCUCCUAGCUACUCAAGUGGUUCAGGACCUGCUGGUACUUUCUAGCCCUUUU